rnacentral:lncRNA from 1 species
UGGGGGAUACUGACCUUGGGCCCCCUCCUCAUCCCCAACCCCCUAAUAACCCCCUGGGUUUAUAGAGCUCCUUUCUUCCACCGAGCUCAAAGCACUUUCCCAUCUGUGAUCUCCCUGGCCUGGGACCAGCCCCAGAAGUGUGGGAGGGCCCAGCGUUCCUCUCCCCACUUUACAGAGGCAAACCAAGGCCUAGAGAGGACAGGGCGAGCCCCGGCGUGCUGCUGGCAGAUCAGAAAAGAGCUUACAGGUCCGUUUCUCCAACUCUCUCGGUUACAGAUGAAGAAACUGAGGUCCAGAGGGGAACAGACUUGCCCGAAUGAGUCCUGGGCUAGAACUUCGAUGUCCUAAAUGCCAUCCGGGGCUUUUCCACGACAUCGAGAUCUCUGCCUGAAGCUCAGCAAGGCUCGGCCAAGUCAUCGAACGUAAUGAGCCCCAGUGGCUCCGUUUGUGAAAGGAACCGUGCUUCCGGGUCUGCCUGCCUCCUGGGGGACGAGCAGAUGGAGGACCUGGGAGCACUCGUGACUGGCUGUGAAGGUGUGAGGCCAGGAGAUGGAGAAUGAGGGCAGUGGCCCAAAGUGCAAAUUUCAGCAGGACCCUCACCUCUGCCUGGCUCACACACAACCCCAGAGGCUACUCCAGUCCAAGGCUUGACCUUCAGACAGGCUGGCACGUUGUAUGUGCUGCCCGUGUCCUGCCCUCGCUGACCUGGUCAGGGUGUUGGGGGUGGGAGGUGAGAAGAAAUGGCAGCCAGUCUAAUCCUAAUUCUCAAUUCCUUUCCCCUGAUAUGCCCCUCCUGGCACUUCUCACGAUUUGUCCAUUUAUUUACUUAUUCCAGUGACUCGUUAAUGUUUGUCCUCUCUGCCAGACUUUAAGUUGGGUGUCGGCAAACUUUUUCUGCAAAGGGCCAGACGGUAAAUAUUUCCGGAUUUGAGGGCCGUACCAUUUCUGUUGUGACUACACAACUCUGCCGUUAUAGGCGAAGCAGCCACAGACACAACAGAGAUCUCAAGACCCAGGAGUCGGGGUAGCAGCCUCUGAACCCUGAGAAAGGGAUCCUGUCAUGAAGCAGCCCCCGCGGAGCAGCCUGGGCCAGCAUUUUAGAGACGAACUCAGGACACCUGUUGACUCACCGGGCUGGAAGCUCCCCUGGGCAAGGGCUGGUCUCACCCCAGUGUCCCCGGCGCCCGGCACAGUGGCUGUGUCUCCUCCAUCAGACUUGGAGCUCCCUGAGGACUCUGUCUCCUCCAUCAGACUAUGGGUUCUGCCUUUCCUGAGAAAACCAAUACUGAGGAGAUGUUUGAGGCACGAGGUGGGCAAACCCAGUCUGAAGUCUCGUCUUCUCCCGCUGGUCCCCCGGAUGUCAUAUAUGCCAGUCCCCUUGUACCCCAAGCAUCCCUGCCUCCGUACUUGAUGCACGCAGAGCCCUCCACCAUCUCUGCCUGCCGACGUCCUAUUCAACCUUCAAAAUCCCAUCGCUGGGUCACUGUCACCUUGAAGUCAUCCCCACGACCCUUGGCAGAAGCAGCUCCCCCCUCACACUUGGCCGGCCUGGGGAGGCACCACUGUCCACCCUGACCCGAGCUGCUGAUGCACACGGCUCCCCUCCCAG